GACGAACGCUGGCGGCGUGCUUAACACAUGCAAGUCGAACGAAGAGCGAUGGAAGCUUGCUUCUCUCAAUCUUAGUGGCGAACGGGUGAGUAACGCGUAAUCAACCCGCCCUUCAGAGGGGGACAACAGUUGGAAACGACUGCUAAUACCGCAUACGAUCUAACCUCGGCAUCGAGGAUAGAUGAAAGGUGGCCUCUACAUGUAAGCUAUCACUGAAGGAGGGGAUUGCGUCUGAUUAGCUAGUUGGAGGGGUAAGGGCCCACCAAGGCGAUGAUCAGUAGCCGGUCUGAGAGGAUGAACGGCCACAUUGGGACUGAGACACGGCCCAGACUCCUACGGGAGGCAGCAGUGGGGAAUCUUCCGCAAUGGACGAAAGUCUGACGGAGCAACGCCGAGUGAGUGAUGACGGCCUUCGGGUUGUAAAGCUCUGUUAAUCGGGACGAAAGGCCUUCUUGCGAAUAGUGAGAAGGAUUGACGGUACCGGAAGAGAAAGCCACGGCUAACUACGUG
rnacentral:rRNA from 1 species